AAGCAUAUCAAUAAGCGGAGGAAAAGAAACUAACAAGGAUUCCCCUAGUAACUGCGAGUGAAGCGGGAAAAGCUCAAAUUUAAAAUCUGACAGUCUUUGGCUGUCCGAGUUGUAAUCUAGAGAAGUGCUAUCCGCGCUGGACCGUGUACAAGUCUCCUGGAAUGGAGCGUCAUAGAGGGUGAGAAUCCCGUCUCUGACACGGACUACCAGGGCUUUUGUGAUGCGCUCUCAAAGAGUCGAGUUGUUUGGGAAUGCAGCUCUAAAUGGGUGGUAAAUUCCAUCUAAAGCUAAAUAUUGGCGAGAGACCGAUAGCGAACAAGUACCGUGAGGGAAAGAUGAAAAGAACUUUGGAAAGAGAGUUAAACAGUACGUGAAAUUGUUGAAAGGGAAACGCUUGAAGUCAGUCGCAUUGGCCAGGGAUCAACCUUGCUCUUUUGCUUGGUGUACUUUCUGGUUGAUGGGUCAGCAUCAAUUUUGACUGGUGGAAAAAGGUCAGGGGAAUGUGGCAUCUUUGGAUGUGUUAUAGCCCUUGAUUGUAUACAUCGGUUGGGAUUGAGGAACUCAGCAUGCCGCAAGGCCGGGUUUUUAACCACGUACAUGCUUAGGAUGCUGGCAAAAUGGCUUUAAUCGACCCGUCUUGAAACACGGACCAAGGAGUCUAACAUGCCUGCGAGUAUUUGGGUGGAAAACCCAUGUGCGCAAUGAAAGUGAAGAUCAGGAUCUCUGUCAUGGAGAGCACUGAUGCCCGGACCAGACCUUUUGUGACGGAUCUGCGGUAGAGCAAGCAUGUUGGGACCCGAAAGAUGGUGAACUAUGCCUGAAUAGGGUGAAGCCAGAGGAAACUCUGGUGGAGGCUCGUAGCGAUUCUGACGUGCAAAUCGAUCGUCAAAUUUGGGUAUAGGGGCGAAAGAC
rnacentral:rRNA from 1 species